GUCGCAGUUGCUGCUUGUCUUUAGGCCAUACAAAUCUUGUUUUCUGUGGCAUUAACCACAUUUCUACCACUGGAGUUAAAUUUCUGGAAGCCAGGAAAAAAGAAAAUCUCUUACAUGCCUGGGAGAAAUGUUUUACAGGACUCCUCAGCAAAACAAUUUCCCCUUAAUUAAGCAAUAUGAUGUAAAUUACAUGGUGAAUGAUUUAAUAAGGGAGAAAACGUGGCAACCAACAGCAACAAAAAUCUUUUAAGAAUAGUGGCGUGAUUCUCCAGAAAAGAACAGAAAAUAUGAAGUCACGAGCACAAGCCGCAAUUCACAAAAACCCCAAACCCAUUCAUUCUAUUCAUUAUUUUGGAAAUGGAAAGGUCCAAAAUCUCUUUCCCUGGACAGAAGGAUGCGUUCUCCUUUUCACCCAUCGUGCAGAUGUACCUCAAAUGUCCAAGAGACUUUCAUCUCUAGUGGCAAAGAGACUAGAGGCUCUUCUUGUUUCAUCCACACCUUUGUAACCUAUGUGCUAGACUACUGCAACAAACUCUACCUGGGACUAUCAGUGAAAGCUGGGAAGAAGUUAACAGGAUGGAGCCACCUGCUUAAUGAGUGGGCUAAGCUACUGUGAGGCUUAAUAUAUUUUUACAGUUUUAUAUUGACUUGUGAAAUGGGGUGGAGGCGUGGUAAACAUACCAAACAUUUAACAAGGAUACAUUUUAUUUCUAUACUGAAAGUUGAGAGACAUAUAUUAUAUUCUCAGCUCUGCCACAGACUUCCUGUGUGAUCUUGAGCAAGUCAUUUAAUCUGUGUCUGGGUUCCCAAUCUUCUGCUUUCUAUGUUGAAUCCCUUUCUGCUACUAUUUGUUCUAUUAGUCUAUCUAGAUUAUAGGCACUCUUCAGAGCUGGGACUGGUUCAAAUUCCAUGUGUUUGUGGCUUGUGCAUAUCUAGCACAAUGGGGCCUGUUCUUGGUUGUAGCCAAUGUAAUACAGAUAAUAAUACAAAUAAUAAUGACAAUGAAGAGAUGAGAGAAGUCAGCUUGUUUAUUGUAUAUUUGUACAUCUCUAAUCCUGUAGAGGCUUAAGGUGAAAUCCUGGCCCCAAUGAAGUCAGUGGGAGAUUUGCAAUCCAGCUAGGGCAGUAUUUCACCCAUAAACACCUUUAGUACCUUUACUCCCAUGAGUAGUCCUUCUGAGUUCAAUAGUGCUGCUUAUCUGAGUAAAAUUAUUUCCUUGCCUAAUACUUGCAGGAUUGGGCCUCAAGUUAUUAUUGAUUAUGUGAUUCCAAGCCUUUUAUCUUUAAGAUUUUAUUUUAAUUUUAUGCUUGAUUAGUACCCAGAGGCCUUCAAGCAGGGGGUAUUGUAACAAUAAAGAAUUGUUAUUGCUGUUGAGUUAGAUUUGGUUGUCCUUCCAGUUAAUAAUAGCACAUGUACAACCAUAAUUUCAUCAAUUAUCUCUUCUUCUGCAUUUAUUUUUUAGAAUAUGUGUUUUUUCCCUAGUUCACUUCCCAGUAGGUUAUCCUGCUACUUUAUAUACUGUACUAGGGGCCUUAUCCUGCCAAUAUCACUCAGGCAAAACUACUACUAGACCAGCACAUGAACAAACUUAAAGUGGGAACACAGGUAGCAAUUCUUCCAGCAUAACCUCUGUGGUUUUGGGAUGAGAUUCGCUUUUGGCGAAUGUUAAGAUCUCCUGAAUAAAAUCUGCAGAAUUGUGCCCUGUACCUGGUUGUGACCCAGAAACCUCAUUGUGUCAACUGGCAGAGGGCACAAUGGGUGCUUAGAUUUAGAUAUAUGUAUAAUAAUUCACUAAAGGGUGAGAGCUCUGCUUAAAGCCAGUCAUCAUAAUCACUGUGAAAUGAAUGUACAGAUAACAUUUAAGGAGUUAUGUACUGAAAAUGUUGAUGUUAAGGCAGGUAACCAGGAGGUGAGCUGUCUUGGACAGGUUCCUUUCCAGCAAAGGGUAAUAGAUGUGUAUCUCACUGGCUGGCCAUGUGCGUAUCCUGUGUCUCACAAUGUAAAUCUGUUUGCAUAUUGAGCCUGAUGCUAAUAAAAAGAUUGCAAAACUGACAAGAGAGGAAACCAAUAAGCUGGGUGUGUCCAGAUUACGGAAAAGAACAAAGGACUGUCCUGGUAUAUCUAAGGCUACCAAGAGACACACUGAAUCUUUCACCAAGGAAUCAAGCUGACAGUGUGACUUGUCUCAUAAAUGGAAGAUCACAGCCAAACCCGGCUGUAAAACAUUUUGGGCGAAUAUUGCUCUAUUAGACAGAAAAGUAUCUUUUUAAGUAAAGUCUAGGUAUGUGUAAUAUUGUAUAUGUAGCCGUUUGUAUCCAACACUUCUACUUUCUAU